rnacentral:snRNA from 1 species
GUGCUUGCUUUGGCAGCACAUAUACUAAAAUUAGACUAUAGAGAAGAUUAGCAUAGUGCAAGGAUGACAUGCAAAUUUGUGAAACAUUUCACAAAAAA